ACAACAGCCAUAGCACCCUGAAUACACCCAACUUUGUCUGAUCUCAGAAGCCAAGCAGGGUUGGGCCUGAUGAGUACUUAUAUGGGAGAAAGAUGCAGGCAAUGGAGGCAUUGUUUGUU
ensembl:rRNA 5S_rRNA 5S ribosomal RNA